rnacentral:rRNA from 1 species
CAUAUCAAUAAGCGGAGGAAAAGAAACUAACAGGAUUCCCCUAGUAACUGCGAGUGAAGCGGGAUAAGCUCAAAUUUAAAAUCUGGCAGUCUUUGGCUGUCCGAGUUGUAAUCUAGAGAAGUGUUAUCCGUCCUGGACCGUGUACAAGUCUCCUGGAAUGGAGCGUCAUAGAGGGUGAGAAUCCCGUCUUUGACACGGACUGCCAGGGCUUUGUGAUGCGCUCUCAAAGAGUCGAGUUGUUUGGGAAUGCAGCUCAAAAUGGGUGGUAAAUUCCAUCUAAAGCUAAAUAUUGGCGAGAGACCGAUAGCGAACAAGUACCGUGAGGGAAAGAUGAAAAGAACUUUGGAAAGAGAGUUAAACAGUACGUGAAAUUGCUGAAAGGGAAACGCUUGAAGUCAGUCGCGUUUGCCAGGGAUCAACCUUGCUUUUGCUUGGUGUACUUUCUGGUUAACGGGUCAGCAUCAAUUUUGAUUAUUGGAAAAAGAUUAGGGGAAUGUGACAUCUUCGGAUGUGUUAUAGCCUUUAGUUGUAUACAAUAGUUAGGAUUGAGGAACUCAGCACGCCGCAAGGCCGGGUUUUAACCACGUACGUGCUUAGGAUGCUGGCAUAAUGGCUUUAAUCGACCCGUCUUGAAACACGGACCAAGGAGUCUAACAUACCUGCGAGUGUUUGGGUGGAAAACCCGAGCGCGUAAUGAAAGUGAAAGUUGAGAUCCUUGUCAUGAGGAGCAUUGACGCCCGGACCUGACCUUUUGUGACGGCCCCGCGGUAGAGCAUGUAUGUUGGGACCCGAAAGAUGGUGAACUAUGCCUGAAUAGGGUGAAGCCAGAGGAAACUCUGGUGGAGGCUCGUAGCGAUUCUGACGUGCAAAUCGAUCGUCAAAUUUGGGUAUAGGGGCGAAAGACUAAUCGAAUCAUCUAGUAGCUGG